AGUGAACGCUGGCGGUAGGCCUAACACAUGCAAGUCGAACGGCAGCACAGUAAGAGCUUGCUCUUACGGGUGGCGAGUGGCGGACGGGUGAGGAAUACAUCGGAAUCUACUUUUUCGUGGGGGAUAACGUAGGGAAACUUACACUAAUACCGCAUACGACCUCCGGGUGAAAGCAGGGGAUCUUCGGACCUUGCGCGAUUGAAUGAGCCGAUGUCGGAUUAGCUAGUUGGCGGGGUAAAGGCCCACCAAGGCGACGAUCCGUAGCUGGUCUGAGAGGAUGAUCAGCCACACUGGAACUGAGACACGGUCCAGACUCCUACGGGAGGCAGCAGUGGGGAAUAUUGGACAAUGGGCGCAAGCCUGAUCCAGCCAUACCGCGUGGGUGAAGAAGGCCUUCGGGUUGUAAAGCCCUUUUGUUGUGAAAGAAAAGCAGCAGGUUAAUACCCCGCUGUUCUGACGGUACCCAAAGAAUAAGCACCGGCUAACUUCGUG
rnacentral:rRNA from 1 species